rnacentral:rRNA from 1 species
CAGUCGCCGCGGUAAUACAGAGGGUGCGAGCGUUAAUCGGAUUUACUGGGCGUAAAGCGUGCGUAGGCGGCUUCUUAAGUCGGAUGUGAAAUCCCUGAGCUUAACUUAGUAAUUGCAUUCGAUACUGGGAAGCUAGAGUAUGGGAGAGGAUGGUAGAAUUCCAGGUGUAGCGGUGAAAUGCGUAGAGAUCUGGAGGAAUACCGAUGGCGAAGGCAGCCAUCUGGCCUAAUACUGACGCUGAGGUACGAAAGCAUGGGGAGCAAACAGGAUUAGAUACCCCAGUAGUCCCUGUCUCUUAUAC